rnacentral:tRNA from 1 species
GGUUGAUUGAUGUAGUGGUUAUCAUUCCAGAUUUUGAUUCUGGCAACCCCGGUUCGAAUCCGGGAUCGACCU